rnacentral:lncRNA from 1 species
AGCACACUGACAGCUGGAACAGAGAGGAGAGGGAGAGAGGAGAGAAAGAGAGGAGAGAAACAAGAGGGGAAGAGGGGAGAGAUGAGAAGAAGAAGAGACAAGAGAAGAGACGAAGAGAGGAGAGAGAGAGGAUGACAGAGGAGGAGAGAGGAAAGAGAUAGGAUCAUAGAGGAGUUGAGAGGGGGACAAAGAGAGGGUAGACAGAGAGAGAGGGUAUUCAGAGAGGGUUGACAGAGAGAGAGGGUAGACAGGGAGACAUCACUGUGACAAGCACACUGACAGCUGGAACAGAGAGGAGAGGAGAGAGGAGAGAAAGAGAGGAGAGAAACGAGAGGGGAAGAGGGGAGAGAUGAGAAGAAGAAGAGACAAGAGAAGAGACGAAGAGAGGAGAGAGAGAGGAUGACAGAGGAGGAGAGAGGAAAGAGAUAGGAUGAUAGAGGAGUUGAGAGGGGGACAAAGAGAGGGUAGACAGAGAGAGAGGGUAUUCAGAGAGAGAGGGUAGACAGAGAGAGAGAGGACAGAGAGAGAGGGUAGACAGAGAGAGAAGGUAGACAAAGAGAGAGGGUAGACAGAGAGAGAGAGGGUAGACAGAGAGAGAGAGAGGGUAGACAGAGAGAGAGAGGGUAGACAAAGAGAGAGGGUAGACAGAGAGAGAGGGUAGACAGAGAGAGAGGGUAUUCAGAGAGGGUUGACAGAGAGAGAGGGUAGACAGGGAGAGAGGGUAGACAGAGAGAGAGGGUAUCUGACAGGGAGAGAGGGUAGACAGAGAGAGAGGGUAGACAAAGAGAGAGGGUAGACAAAGAGAGAGGGUAGACAGAGAGAG